GGGGAAUAUUGCACAAUGGGGGAAACCAUGAUGCAGCAACGCCGCGUGAAGGAUGAAGGUUUUCGGAUUGUAAACUUCUUUAGUCAGGGACGAAUAAAUGACGGUACCUGAAGAAUAAUCCACGGCUAACUACGUGCCAGCAGCUGCGGUAAUACGUAGGUGGCGAGCGUUGUCCGGAAUUACUGGGUGUAAAGGGCGUGUAGGCGGGAAUGUAAGUCAGAUGUGAAAUCCCAAGGGCUUAACUCUGGAGCUGCAUCUGAAACUCUGUUUCUUGAGUGUCCGAGGAGGAAGCGGGAUUUCUUGUGUUGGGGUGGAAUGCGUUGAUAAUAGGGGGAACACCAGUGGCGAAGGCGGCUUUCUGGACGAUAACUGACGCUGAGGCGCGAAAGCGUGGGGAGCAAACA
rnacentral:rRNA from 1 species